rnacentral:lncRNA from 1 species
CUGAUUCAAGGUGGGAGUAAACAAGCAUAAAGAGAAGAAGUAGUGUCAGUCUCUUUCCCCUAAUGUGCUCUGUUCUUUGCCAUUAAAUCCAUCUCUCUCUCCCCAGGCCCUGUAGCCUCUAGCUGGGAGGUCCAGACUGCAUGUGAGGUGGUUGAGGAAGAGUCCGGCUCGCCUUCGUUGCUGUGAGGAUAGGAAGAAGAGACAGAGGUGGGAGCUCAGGAGGCUGUUCUCACACUCCAGGAAAGACCCAGGGCUGUGGAAUCGACAAGACCCGUAGCCGCAGGAUGCUGAGUAGUUGGAUGCAGAACGUAUUUUGAAGGUGAUGUCAAAAGUUGCUUUUGACUGACUAUGGGAUGUGAGAAUUAAAAAGGAGAAUUAAAGGACAACCACAAGAUAUUUGCUCUACUCUCUCCUAAUGUUGUUGUGGAAAUGAGAGAAUUAUCCUUUCCGACCCCAAAGCUGAUCCUUCCAUUCAUCCACCAUUGUGCAAUCAGACUUCCUUCCUAAGGCACCGUUUUAACCAUGCAGGGAAGAUCUUUAUAAGAACCUACCCUCAGGCCUGUUAGCUGGGGGAUGUUUAGCCUUAGCCUUCCAAGUCUCCAGGUGUCCCAUUCACCAGCCCCAACACUGACCAGGG